rnacentral:rRNA from 1 species
AAAUUGAAGAGUUUGAUCAUGGCUCAGAUUGAACGCUGGCGGCAGGCCUAACACAUGCAAGUCGAACGGUAACAGGAAACAGCUUGCUGUUUCGCUGACGAGUGGCGGACGGGUGAGUAAUGUCUGGGAAACUGCCUGAUGGAGGGGGAUAACUACUGGAAACGGUAGCUAAUACCGCAUAACGUCGCAAGACCAAAGAGGGGGACCCUCGGGCCUCUUGCCAUCGGAUGUGCCCAGAUGGGAUUAGCUUGUUGGUGGGGUAACGGCUCACCAAGGCGACGAUCCCUAGCUGGUCUGAGAGGAUGACCAGCCACACUGGAACUGAGACACGGUCCAGACUCCUACGGGAGGCAGCAGUGGGGAAUAUUGCACAAUGGGCGCAAGCCUGAUGCAGCCAUGCCGCGUGUAUGAAGAAGGCCUUCGGGUUGUAAAGUACUUUCAGCGGGGAGGAAGGGAGUAAAGUUAAUACCUUUGCUCAUUGACGUUA